rnacentral:rRNA from 1 species
GACGAACGCUGGCGGCGUGCUUAACACAUGCAAGUCGAACGGUGAAGGGGUCUGUUUUUGUGGGCCCUGGAUGAGUGGCGAACGUGUGAGUAACACGUGAGUAACCUGCCCCCUUCUUCUGGAUAACCGCAUGAAAGUGUGGCUCAUACGGGAUGUUCUGGGUCUGUCGCAUGAUUGGUCUGGGAAAGAUUGCGCCUUGGGGUGUUUGUGGUGGGGGGUUGGCUCGCGGCCUAUCGGCUUGUUGGGGGGGUGAUGGCCUGCCAAGGCGGGGACGGGUGGCCGAGAGGAGGGGGUGGCCGGUCACACUUGGGCUGAGACACGGACCAGACUCCUACGGGAGGCAGCAGUGGGGAAGAUUGCACACUGGGGGCAAGCCUGAUGCAGCGACGCCGCGUGAGAGAUGGAGCCGUUCGGGUUGUAAACCUAUUUCGCAAGUGAAGCAGGCCUGUUCUUUGUGGGUGGGUUGACGGUAGCUGGAGAAGAAGCGCCGGCUAACUACGUG